rnacentral:rRNA from 1 species
GUUGAGUCCAAUUAAACCGCAGGCUUCACCCCUUGUGGUGCUCCCCCGCCAAUUCCUUUAAGUUUCAUACUUGCGUACGUACUUCCCAGGCGGCAAACUUAACGGCUUCCCUGUAGCACUGCAUUGGCCACAAGCCAAUGCAUCACUGAGUUUGCAUAGUUUACAGCUGGGACUACCCGGGUAUCUAAUCC